AUCGUAACUAAUAUCAAAGUAACUGUGUGAAAUUGUGAUUGCCCUGUAGUUACUAAUUCCCAAAUUUACAAAACUGCAAUCAUAAUGGGGUUCAGAUGGAUUGUAUGCAACCAGGCCUGAUUACUGCCAGCCGUGUUCAAUUACGUCAACACUUGUAAAGAACAUUUCAACAGCAUGAAGUUGGUUUAAAGGUCAUACCCAGUAGAGGAUAACCUCACAGAAUUCUUUUAAGAGCAGAGCAACGACUCAUCCAGGAAGUCACAAAAGACCCACGCACAACAUAGUAGGAACGGCAGGCCUCUCUCGCAUCAGAUGGCAUCCAUGGUCUACAGUCACACAGUUUCAUGAACUUUUCUUCUCAAGACAGCAGUGUGUGUGUCAGGGUAAAGAGUGUGUGGAAGGUGAUUUACUGCAAAGAACUAAUUACCAACUGUGUAUGUGCAGAAAUAAUUUUAAACUCUUAUAUUUGACAUAUUGCUGUUGUGUUGUGAGUAGUAUAGUCAGAACAGACUCCACAAGCUCUUGAGUUCUUACUGUCAGAAAACACAGGGUAGCGCCAUAAACACUGAGCUCCAGUAAUGCUGCAUUUCAGGAGAGUCCUACUGAAAAUUUCAAAACAACUUUCCUCAUGAACACACACACAUAUUGUUUGACUUAACAGUAAAUAUAUUACAGUCAUUACAAAUUAAAAUGAAUUCUUACAUCAUAAAAUAUCAUUAACCUGAUAAAAAACUGUCUUCCCCUGUUUUUGUGUCCAUCUCCUUUUUAAACUGUUUCAAGAAAAAAAAAAGGUAAUCAUCGUGACUAAUAUCAAAGUAACUGUGUGAAAUUGUGAUUGCCCUGUAGUUACUAAUUCCCACAUUUACAAAACUGCAAUCAUAAUGGGGUUCAGAUGGAUUGUAUGCAACCAGGCCUGAUUACUGCCAGCCGUGUUCAAUUACGUCAACACUUGUAAAGAACAUUUCAACAGCAUGAAGUUGGUUUAAAGGUCAUACCCAGUAGAGGAUAACCUCACAGAAUUCUUUUAAGAGCAGAGCAACGACUCAUCCAGGAAGUCACAAAAGACCCACGCACAACAUAGUAGGAACGGCAGGCCUCUCUCGCAUCAGAUGGCAUCCAUGGUGAGAAAAAAAUUAUAAUAAUACUAACACAGAUAAAUAUACAGUAAAGUCUUGUCUAUGUAGCUGCUGGAUUCAUUUAAGAUGCUGGAUCAUGCCUCAAGCAUUGUAAACUUGCCCUCUUUACAAUUAAAUUAUUACUAUUUUUUUUUUUUUUUUCAAACUUCUUACUCCAAGAAUGCUAUCACGUCUGCUAUCUCUAG
rnacentral:lncRNA from 1 species